UAUAUUGGACAAUGGGCGAAAGCCUUAUCCAGCCAUGCCGCGUGUGUGAAGAAGGUCUUCGGAUUGUUUUGCACUUUAUGUUGGGAGGAAGGGCAGUACGUUACUAUCUUGCUGUUUUUACGUUACCGUCAGACUAAGCACCGGCUUACUUCGUGCCAGCAGCCGCGGUAAUUCGAAGGGUUCAAGCGUUAAUCGGAAUUACUGGGCUUAAAGCGCGCGUAGGUGGUUUGUUAAGUUGGAAGUGAAAGCCCCGGGCUCAACCAGGGAACUGCUUUCAAAACUGGCAAGCUAGAGUAUGGCAGAGGGUGGUGGAAUUUCCUGUGUAGCGGUGAAAUGCGUAGAUAUAGGAAGGAACACCAGUGGCGAAGGCGACCACCUGGGCUAAUACUGACACUGAGGUGCGAAAGCGUGGGGAGCAAACA
rnacentral:rRNA from 1 species